CCUACGGGAGGCAGCAGUAGGGAAUCUUCCACAAUGGGCGAAAGCCUGAUGGAGCAACGCCGCGUGGGUGAAGAAGGUCUUCGGAUCGUAAAACCCUGUUGUUAGAGAAGAAAGUGCGUGAGAGUAACUGUUCACGUUUCGACGGUAUCUACCCAGAAAGCCACGGCUAACUACGUGCCAGCAGCCGCGGUAAUACGUAGGUGGCAAGCGUUAUCCGGAUUUAUUGGGCGUAAAGGUAACGCAGGCGGUCUUUUAAGUCUGAUGUGAAAGCCUUCGGCUUAACCGGAGUAGUCCAUUGGAAACUGGGAGACUUGAGUGCAGAAGAGGAGAGUGGAACUCCAUGUGGAGCGGUGAAAUGCGUAGAUAUAUGGAAGAACACCAGUGGCGAAAGCGGCUCUCUGGGCUGUAACUGACGCUGAGGUUCGAAAGCGUGGGUAGCAAACAGGAUUAGAUACCCCUGUAGUC
rnacentral:rRNA from 1 species